GUCAAAUUGUGGGCGUUGAACAAGAAAAACUAAGUAGACCUUGAAUACUGGGUCCCUGGAAUCCAAAUUAAAAGGUGGCAAAUAGAAAAGCUGCUUAUUCUCCCAAGACUCUUCAAUUAUUUCUGUGGAUUUUGGCAUUGCUGGU